CCCUUAGAUGUUCUGGGCCGCACGCGCGCUACACUGACCGGUGCAACGAGUUGUUUAUCCUUUGCUUCGAGAGGCAUGGGGAAUCUUUGAACGCCGGUCGUGCUGGGGAUAGAUUCUUGGAAUUAAAAUCUUCAACGAGGAAUUCCUAGUAAACGCAAGUCAUCAACUUGCAUUGAUUACGUCCCUGCCCUUUGUACACACCGCCCGUCGCACCUACCGAUUGAAUGCUCCGGUGAAACUUUCGGAUCGUGGUGUCCGGCCUUUACGGGUCGGCGCCGUGAGAAGUUAUUUAAACCUUAGCAUUUAGAGGAAGGUAAAGUCGUAACA
rnacentral:rRNA from 1 species